rnacentral:lncRNA from 1 species
AUGCACAAGGAAUGCACUGUCCUGUGCUCUGUGGGGUCACAAUACAAAACAAUAGCAUUUUAUGGAAGAAGUGCAUUCCCAAGUGCUGAUGGAAUUCAAGGCUAAACUUGACGAAGGAUGGCAGGUGGCUUGAGGCAAUGGACAAAGCGGCCCGUCUUGUCCGCCAGAGCCAUGUCUGGGAAGAUGUUACUCUGCACAACAGUAGCCUCCCACCUCUGGCUAUCAAGAACCCAGGGUGUCUGGGUCUUCUGCACCAGCUGGAUAUAAACACGGACAUGUGGGUCCUGCACUAUUGCAUCUUGAAAGGAUGGUUGGCUUGUAUUUCUAUGAUAACAAUCGCUCUACCCAAGCCUCAGGUGGUCUAUAUCUGCAAGGAUAUAGGGUGAGUGAACAGACCCUUAGUUCCAAACAAUUAGUAAUUGAACUCUAGCCUCCAUCCGAAGAGUUCAAGACUUUCUAUUUCUGUGCGGAAAAUGAAACAGAAAACCGACGCUGGAUUACAGCUCUGAAAGCAUUUAUCAAAAAAAAUGGCUUCCUUUGCAUUAGGCUAUUCAAGGCUUUAUGAAUUGACCUCUCGGACAAGCCAAAAUGCGAAAGAGACCCUAACUCUUAAAAGGAUCUACAAACUCAUCACCAACUUGUAGAAACAAACAAAAUGUCUAUCAUUAUAUAACUUUUCAAAUGAAUGUUCUUCCAAUGUAUUAAAACUGUGUGAUGAGAUU